GAAGAUAAGGUUCUUGAGAGAGGCGCAGGAACGAACUUUCUAAGUGCUUCUGUGGCUGGUUGUAUUAGUCAAGGGAGUGCUGUUCUCAUUAAACAAUCAAGCAUGGUCUUGAUGCCAUCACUUUCUCAGGAUGACUUAGUUCAAGCCCCUUCUCCUUUCUGUUCCUAAUUUUCCACAUAUACAAAAAUGGGCCAGAAGAAUCCACUAUAGUUCCUUCCUGGAAAGAAUGGGUUUGAAUAAGGACCCUCCCAGAGCUCUCUCCGGCUUUAUAUUUCUCCACCACCCUCCUCUUCCUUCCUUCCUUCCUCCCUCCCCUCUUUCUCAGCAGUUCUAGCUACAGCAUUUAACUAAAAAACCUUAAAGACCACUUCAAUUUCUUUUCUUUGGCCGUUGCUAUAAAAUGAUAUACUUCUGGUUUACUUCAAAUUAGAAAUAUAGAAAUUAUCUAGCCUCUACCCCCCUCCCCCGCCAAAAAAAAAAUGCCCUAGAAUAUUUUCAGGAGUAUUACUCGUAGUAGCUGUAGAUGAGCCCAUUCAAGGAUGCAUUUUAUAAGUUCCACUAUGGAAAUCAAAUGUUAGUAAUUCUUUUUUCUUUCACUUUUAUGAAGAUAUGAGCCUCCAAGCUUCAUUUAAAUUUCAAAGCUGAUGACACUUGAGAAACAGAUACCAAAAUCUUUUAAAGCUUUGUUCUUUUCAGCAAUCCAUAUGGUAUAAAACAUUCAACCUAAGACAAUGGAAGGAAAACUGGGACAAGUUCUGCAGAGUUGUAACGAAAAAUGGGAGCUGGGAAGGAAGAAACAGAAACAUUCUCACUUUGGCAGGGCAUGGAGAGGGAGUGAGUUCUCAAAUUACCAAUAUUAACAAAAACUUUACUUCAUUAAAAAAUCCAUGAGCCAUGUAUACCAUCAAUACGGUAUUUUCUACAAAAAAGGACACUGGCCGCAUUCUCUGUAAACACCAAUUUCCUAAAAUAUGAAGAAGUGCCCUCCUUCGUCUCUUCUGCUUUUGCAACAAAUUGUACCAUUUCCUCCAAACAAACUAAAUUUCCUGAGACCGUCUGCCUCUACAGUUUCUCCUGACAUCCUAAACUCUUCCAAACAGUGACUCAAGAGGAAGCUUUCAACUUGCCCUAUAGGCUUAAAUAGCUCUAAGGAGUUAAGCCUGGCCUCCUGUCUUACUCCUUCCCUCAUACACCCUGGGCACUGAAACUUAGCUCCUUGUUGUGAAAGCUCUUGGCAACGGAGGAGGCCCCAGAGAUCUGAGCAAUGUUCCACCUGAGAACAGAGAACCCUGGAAUCUGGUGGCAGACCUUGAAGACAUGCUCCUGAGGCGUGCAAAUCGGUUAUCACAUUUCCUUAUCACUUCCUUCUUUGAUUGUCGUAUUCUUAAUAUCUUAAUACUAAUUGCUCCCCUCUAUUCUUCUGGCCCACGUGAGUCUGGAAAGUUUUGAGGUGAUGGCCGAGCACACUUUUCUUUUAAAACCUAAAUUAGUUCAGAGCGCUGAGUUUCUGUUUUCUUUUCUCCGUCUUUCUGCAUGAUCUAGGUACUUUUUCCUCCCUCUCUUCUCUACUAGUUUAUUAAUUAUUCUCAAGGCUCUCUCUCUCUAGGGAAAACUGAACAAAAAUAGGAAAGGAAAGGCGACCAGGAGUCCACUUACCGUCUUCUGAACUACCAACAUCAUGAUGGUUGCCACAGCAAAGACAAGACACAGAGCCAGCGCCGUGGUGGUGAAGUAGAAAUAACCACGACUGGUGGUUCCCAGGUGGCUGGCCACGGAGCCCGCUGGCACAUGCAUGGCUGUGUCUCGAGAAGGGGCCACUCCGCUCACAUUUCCUUUCCACCCAGCGCAAAACUGAGGAUCAGAGAAUGUGAAAACUGUUUCGGCCAAAGUGGGAUAUGUCGAUCAAUGACGUCACCCCGAGCUGGGGCCUCCAGCUGUAGCUCUGAAAACUUCAUUCGGAAGUACCCAGUCCUCUGUAAGCGCCCGCCCUCCCCUGCCUUUCUGCUCAUUUUUGGUGGCACCGUAUCUCAGAAGGCCAGCAGGAACCCCAGCUCCUCCUAAGGAAAUGCCCUGUAUUCAAAGUCAAGCUUGGAUGAUUCUUCCUGCUGCAAAUGCAGUGGUCCCAGACAGAUGAACAUCACUGGAGUUGGGUCAGACUCUAGGGAUUGGUCUGAAUAUUCUUUUCCAGUGAAACCCUAAAAUCACAGAUCCUGGAGAAGGAAGAGCCAUCAAGAGGUAAAUUGCUUUCUUGCACUACCUAGAGUGGUAUGAAUUGUAACUGCAUCACGGUUAAGGGAGCUGACCACCUCCCCGCUCCGGACCCCAAGUCAGGCUUAGUUUUGGAAGCAGUGGGUGCACGGGUUCCUUUGGUCUGGUAGCUGAGGUGGGGCUGAAGUCAGCCAGUGUCCUCUGGGGUGUGUACCUAGCUGAUCUGGUGAGAAGGCUGUGGCCGGCGGUGGACAUGGACGAGAGAGUAGCGGGGUCUCUAUAACGGGCCCCACGCACUGAGAACAGAUUUGCUCCCUUGGCCUCUAUCUUCAGUCUCUUUGAUGAAAGUGGAAAACUUCUGAUUAUGGAAUGGAAGCUGUGGGUGUUGAUAAAACGGCUUUGCUUGAAGUGCAGGUCUUCCUGAAGGCCCGUGGGGCUGAGAAGGGCAGUGGAAAAAAAUGUUUGUCUUACAGUUACACGUUUUGCAUACAGUACAAUGUCCUGAGAGGGAAGGCUGACAAGGGGGAAAAAAAAUCACCCUUUGUUUUUACUCAGAACCUUCUGAGCAGUUGAGAUUUUCAGAUCCGUUUGCUUCUCCAGCAGCCCGUGGGCCCGAUCUGCUGUCCCCGUGCCUCUCCUCUACACGCAAGCCUGCAAGCUUCCUGGCAUCCCACCCCAGGGGUCUGAGCCCCCCUCGCUGCCCAGCUGCUCUGGGAUCCAGCCCAGCCCAUGGAGUGGUCCCAUCCUUUGUGCUUCCUGGCUGCUUUCUCUUUUUCAUUUGGUCACCUGAGAUACAAAUGGAAAGAGCUUUUACAGAGUUUCUUGUUGAGUGACUUUCAAAUCCCUUCUGGAAGCGAAACUGUGCAGUGAGUGCAGACACAUAAGAAAGUGGAGUUUUCUGGUUGAAGCAGAGGCAGGGCGACGAAGAGGCAGGCUGGGCCCAGCAUGUUCAUACACCUUUUAGUGGCCUGGGGUCUCUCCAGGCUGGAACAGAACUUGCAAACUUGCGAGUUAGCUCAAAACCCAUAUUCCUCAAAUCAGGAAACUGAGGCAGAGAAAUGGGGGUAAAGUCAUGCUUAGGAGCCCCCUGUGCUCUCUCUUACCCCUCAGGCACAGCCUUGCUUCCUGCCACACUGACCUCACCCUUCCACUGCCUCAGAGCCUUCCUGCCCCUGCCGCCUGCUUCCGUCUCCCGGGGAGGCCUGCUCAGGGCUCUCAAGCCCACCACUGUCCUUUCUCCAGAAAAGUCCAUGGUCAUGCACACACUAUUGUAUCCUAUUAACUACUUGUUCUGACCUCUGUCAAGUGUGCGAAUACGGUGUGCCUUUUGCCCUCCCCGUUAGACUAAGAGCUCCUGAGGGCAGCCUUCCUUGCCUCCUACCCUGCAGUAUUUGCUGUGGGAUCCAUGUAUAAUUAGCCUUCAGUCAAUGCUUGUAUUGACUUUGUGUUUAUGGAAAGAGAAGGUUCUAGAAGGUUGGUUUAUACAAAGGAGUUGCCUGAUGGUGUAUUUGUCUCUCACUUCUCAACGAUCCCCGGUUUCCCUGUCCUUCUCUAGAACUUACCUGGCUACCCAUUGGCCUUUAUGUUCUAGCAUGACCCUGCAAAAGUCACCACUAGCCUCCUUUCAACCUGUAGUCAGCUGAGGUGUGACUGUAGCAUCUGAGACUCGGUGAGCAAACAGGUCUAAUAUCUCACCCCUUUGGGAGGGAACAGCAUUUUGGAAAAAAUGAAGAGGAACCAGCUGUAGGACUGUCCCCCACUGUCCAGCCAUUGCUUCCCUGUGUAGAGGACUGUGAGGUCUCUAUCGUGGACCAAAAUUGUCGUCCCUGGGCCAGCACUAACAGAAUUUGGUAGCCCUGCAAAUUCUUCGGCUCCACCCUAGGAUCUACUUGAUCAGAAACUCACGCUGGGGUCUAGCAAUCUCUGUUUUAACAAGUGCCUCAGGGAACUACAAUUCCUGAAACCAUUUGGAAAUCAUCGGUUUAGGAAAAUAAUCUGUCUAAAUCCCAGAAAGGGUCAAGGGGGGGGGUGCAUCUUGUCCAGGCUGUGGCCCUUUGGGCAGGUGAAGUCUUAACCCCACUGUGUAGAUGAGAAAACUGAGGCAUAGCACUGUAGCGAUCAGGAUGCUGGAGAUUGUUGGAAGGAAGCUUUGUUUUUUUUGUCUCUUGUUUGGGCCCACUUUCUAAACCCCAAUAUGGCUGUAGGCUGAAAAGCGCUAUUGUAGAUGAAGAUAUAUUUAUAAUAUAUAUCUGAAGUUCUCUUGUGGUGAACACUGUGGUAGAAACAAAUAUUUUUUUAAAAAAUUUUUGGUGUAUGUGAGAGAAGGGGGAACUCCUGCAGGGUAUUUUCAAGCAAUAAAAGAUGUAGGAUGGAUCUCGUCCCAUUAACUGGAGAGCCCUCUGUUUUGCAAAGUCUGAUUUGAUAGAUUGGACAUUGGAGUUGGUCAGGAUGACACUGAACUUAGGAUCUAUUGGCUACAGGUACAGUGGACAUGGAAGGGUUAGGGUUACAGUCAUGGGCCAGAUCAGCCCACCACCUACUUUAUGAAUAAAGUUUUAUUGAAACAGGGUCAUGCUCAUUUGUUUAUGCAGAUUAUAGCUAUGUUUGUAUUACAAUGCAGCGUUGAAUAGUUAUAGUUGCAACCCAGACAGAUCUCAUGGCCCACAAAAUCUAAAAUAUUACUAUUUAGCCCUUUGCCAGAAAAGUUUUCUGACCCCUGAUUUAAAGUAUCGAAAUAAACUCAAUUCAAGGCAGGAUUACAAAAGAAGGGAUUUGGAGAAAAGAAUAGAAAUGCGUUUUUCUGAGAUUCCUCCAUAAAAUCUGCACUUAUAUUUUCAUCACUAACUCACGUUUUCAGAAGAGAACUUCCUUUCCUGGGAUUCACUAAUUGGGAAGGAGCUAGAUACCCUCAUUUGUGUGUGACCACAUAGACUACUGGAGAGGCCCCAGGCGCUGAGAGAGAGGCUGGCAGAAGAGAUCUGGGAAAUAUGUAGACAGAUAGACUUUCAGCAUUGGGAAUAUGUGUGUGUGUUCAUAAAUUAAUACAUAAUAGACAUAUAUAUGAAUCUAUACAUUACAUGCACAGGCACACACACAUGUUAUUCCUACCUACUUUAAAGAGGCAUUGAGACCACUUAAAAUAAAUGCACACGUAUAUUGGAACUCAAGCCAUUAAGACAAGGCACCAGGUAGGAGCCACGAUGUAAAGGGAGAGGUUAAGGAUUAAGAGAGGGGACACACCCUGGCAGAGGACUGUGUUCAGCGGUUAUGUACAGCAUGUAUGCUUCUGAGAUUCUUGGUAAUCAGGGCAAAGAAGAAAACAUGCUGGGUUGCAUAGCUCUCUUUGAUGGUAAAGAGCAGAUGAGUUCAAAAGGAGAAAUGGACCCUUUGCUGUUUGUACAGGUGCUUUGAAAUACAUAGCAUUUUAUGAAAUGGCUGAUGGUAAUCUAUGAAUUUAAAGCAUGGCAUGGCAAUGAAUCAGGAUAAGAACUGAUGUGAACAAGUGAAAAUCCUGGAAUAUUUAAAAAGAAAUAUAAUCUUGUGAUGUUCAGUGAUGCAGAAUUAAAGAUGACCAGACGCUAGGGUGGUGGAGGAGUCAGGACCAAAAGGGGAAAAAAGAAAAAAAAAAAUAAAGAG